rnacentral:rRNA from 1 species
UACGUAGGGUGCGAGCGUUGUCCGGAAUUACUGGGCGUAAAGAGCUCGUAGGUGGUUUUGUCGCGUUGUUCGUGAAAUCUCACGGCUUAACUGUGAGCGUGCGGGCGAUACGGGCAGACUAGAGUACUGCAGGGGGAGACUGGAAUUCCUGGUGUAGCGGUGGAAUGCGCAGAUAUCAGGAGGAACACCGGUGGCGAAGGCGGGUUUCUGGGCAGUAACUGACGCUGAGGAGCGAAAAGCGUGGGGGAGCGAACAGG